AAAAAGGAUAUGGAGUAAAAGGAGCAAAAAAAACAUAAAAAAAUGGCUCGAUGCCUUUUAG
rnacentral:sRNA from 1 species